rnacentral:rRNA from 1 species
AUUGAACGCUGGCGGCAGGCCUAACACAUGCAAGUCGAACGGUAGCAGGAAGACGCUUGCUUCUUUGCUGACGAGUGGCGGACGGGUGAGUAAUGUCUGGGAAACUGCCUGAUGGAGGGGGAUAACUACUGGAAACGGUAGCUAAUACCGCAUAACGUCGCAAGACCAAAGAGGGGGACCUUCGGGCCUCUUGCCAUCGGAUGUGCCCAGAUGGGAUUAGCUAGUAGGUGGGGUAACGGCUCACCUAGGCGACGAUCCCUAGCUGGUCUGAGAGGAUGACCAGCCACACUGGAACUGAGACACGGUCCAGACUCCUACGGGAGGCAGCAGUGGGGAAUAUUGCACAAUGGGCGCAAGCCUGAUGCAGCCAUGCCGCGUGUAUGAAGAAGGCCUUCGGGUUGUAAAGUACUUUCAGCGGGGAGGAAGGGAGUAAAGUUAAUACCUUUACUCAUUGACGUUACCCGCAGAAGAAGCACCGGCUAACUCCGUG